CCGCGGCCGGCACUGUGGAUGUGUGGAUGGGAAGUCCGAUCAGAAAGACUUAUAAGCCGACUGUGUGUGUAUUUGGGUUUUUGGCUGGAAUUUCUAUUCUAUUCGGAACCCCCUGCCUAGAGUUUGAAGGAUCUCUGCAACUUUGCCCAAGGGGUGCCUGAUCUAACUGGUUCCUGUAGCUCUUUGGGGCUCGGUAAGGCAUUUCCAAAGUAGGAGACUAACGGAUUCCUGUGAAGUUCUGUGUGUGUGUGUGUGUGUGUGUGUGUGUGUAUGUGUUCCAGCCACUAAAAACAUGUUUUCAGUGCCGCUGAGAGAAACAAAAAAAGUCCUAUUGCAUCUGAGAGAGGAGCUCCUGCGGUAUCACAGGGAGAUUAAAGCGGCAGACAUUCCUUCCAGCGGAAGUUACUAAUUCCAACCGGCUGAUGCAGUUUCCAUAGCAACCCAGGUUUCCUAGGAAACCCGAAAAAGGUUGUCAUGGCAUCUCUUGCUCUCUGUCCCUGCCCCUCCUAGCCCCUGCCGUUUCCACAGUAACCUUUCCAGAUGGUUCCUACUUAACACGUUUUCAUAAGGAAAAACCACUGUUUGAAUAAACCGCACAAAUGAAGGCUGAGAUGCCAAGGUGGCGAAAUGACUCACAAAAUGCAUAUAUAUAUUUUACUACAAAAGAAAAGCAUUGCUAUCACCCUCUAAUGACUGAAUUGCGAAGGAAGAUACCAUCUUUGGGAUGUUAGGUUGACACCACAAUCAGGCGUGACUUGAAUGAAAUGUGAGUAACGGGGCAAUAACUUCAAAAGAUGCUUCUCUGCUGUUUUCUUUCACCAAGAAGUUUCCAGGCAACCAAUGAAAUAAAUUUUUUUUUAAAAAGCAGACAGAAGGUGUUCUGUACAUAAUCCAAUGGAAGAUUCAAUCGGUGUAUCCGAAACCUUGCUCCAAGGGACCUUCAGAUGUCCCCUUUAACAGCAGAAAAAAAGAAAAACAAAAACAAAAAACAAAAACAGAUUCCACAACACCGUCACCAUCACGGCACUUGGAAAGCUAAACAAAACUGCACAUUAGGAAGGAUGCGUGUUUGUGACUGAGGGAAGGGCAGACAGUCAAUAAAAAGGAGGGAUGGGAAGUGACCGGAGCUUGGGGCGAUGCCGUCACGUUCCAGCAGGUGCCCGGGCUGCCAGAAGACAGACCACCCAGAUGCCUGAAGAACCCACAUAGAGAGCCACGCUGAUCAGCUGGACGCUCCUGUCUUUCCCCGUCUAGCUCAAGAAUGCGGUGUUGGGUCCGUCCCUGGUGGGCCAUGAGCUGCCUGCCAGCCAUAGUCUGCUUUCGUUGACAUUAAAUAACAUGUCUCCAGCAAAUGCAUUCUGCAAGGGAAAGAGCUCUGAGAGUCUUCCUCACGUCGUAUGCAAUACAAAAGCUAUACAUCUGGAGAGAAAGAAAGAAGUACGUCAACAAUCUUAGGGUAUCACUUCAACCUCUUCAUGUUUUGAUGAAAUCCAAUGAUCCAAAAACUAAGCAGCAUUGCUGAUCAAGAGAACCUAAGUGUGUGUUUCCGACAAGCCAACUAGGACUGUGUUUCUGCUUUCAGCUAAUCACUGGACUGUGUUUAAUCACGAGAUACAUUAAUGUUAUCUUCCGUGUCCUGGCUUCCGUGCGACUUUGUUGAUGACUGUGAUUUGUACCAAAGGCUCUCGUGCAUAGAUUAGCCCGUCUCCACGUGAGUAAGUGAAAUGUACACUGUGCCCAGGUGAAUGGCAUUUGAGACAGACUUGCCUAAAAGAAAAUGUGCCUUGCUUGAUUCAACAUUCUCUUAUUUUUUCAUUAAAAAGGGUAGGUUUGCAAACGAAUCUCAUAGGCAGAUGUUAGCUGAGCUU